CGAAGGUGGCAAGCGUUGUUCGGAUUUACUGGGCGUACAGGGAGCGUAGGCGGUUCGGUAAGCCCUCUGUGAAAUCUCCAGGCUUAACCUGGAACAGUCGGAGGGGACUGCCGGGCUAGAGGACGGGAGAGGAGCGCGGAAUUCCCGGUGUAGCGGUGAAAUGCGUAGAGAUCGGGAGGAAGGCCGGUGGCGAAGGCGGCGCUCUGGAACGUUUCUGACGCUGAGGCUCGAAAGCGUGGGGAGCAAACAGGAUUAGAUACCCUGGUAGUCCACGCCUUAAACUAUGAAUACUAAGUGUCGGCGGGUUACCGCCGGUGCCGCAGCUAACGCAUUAAGUAUUCCGCCUGGGAAGUACGGCCGCAAGGUUGA
rnacentral:rRNA from 1 species